CCUCUUUCAUGGCACGUUACAAAAUGAGUUACUUGGUAACUAAAAGACCAUUAUUGUGUAGAUCAAAUAAGGGAACAAAAUAAAAUAUUUGAUUGAGAGUGAAAUGUUAUAAUUUAAUUAGUUGAUGAUUGAAGAGAUAGAAGAGGCAAAGAGUGAAGAAGAUGAGAUGUUACACAUGAAAACAAGAAACAAUAACAAUAACUUCAACACUCGACGAGAUAUGAUUGUCCGCAACUACCGUUUUCGAAUGUCUUUUCGUAAUAACCAUGAACAAUGUUGUGUUGUGUUGUG
rnacentral:lncRNA from 1 species